rnacentral:miRNA from 10 species
GGUGAAUGCAUUCUGGGUACGAUG